rnacentral:rRNA from 1 species
UACGGAGGAUCCAAGCGUUAUCCGGAUUCAUUGGGUUUAAAGGGUGCGUAGGCGGAAUGAUAAGUCAGUGGUGAAAGCCCUGCAGCUUAACUGCAGAACUGCCAUUGAUACUGUCAAUCUUGAGUACAUUUGAUGUGGGCGGAAAUGUGUCAUGUAGCGGUGAAAUGCUUAGAUAUGACACAGAACACCGAUUGCGAAAGGCAGCUCACAAAAACUG